CUACGUGCCAGCAGCCGCGGUAAUACGUAGGGCGCGAGCGUUGUCCGGAAUUAUUGGGCGUAAAGAGCUUGUAGGCGGUUUGUCGCGUCUGCUGUGAAAGGCCGGGGCUUAACCCCGUGUAUUGCAGUGGGUACGGGCAGACUAGAGUGCAGUAGGGGAGACUGGAAUUCCUGGUGUAGCGGUGGAAUGCGCAGAUAUCAGGAGGAACACCGAUGGCGAAGGCAGGUCUCUGGGCUGUAACUGACGCUGAGAAGCGAAAGCAUGGGGAGCGAACAGGAUUAGAUACCCCGGUAGUCCUGGCCGUAAACGAUGGGUACUAGGUGUAGGAGGUAUCGACCCCUUCUGUGCCGGAGUUAACGCAAUAAGUACCCCGCCUGGGGAGUACGACCGCAAGGUUGAAACUCAAAGGAAUUGACGGGGGCCCGCACAAGCGGUGGAGUAUGUGGUUUAAUUCGACGCAACGCGAAGAACCUUACCAGGUCUUGACAUUGAUGGACAGAACUAGAGAUAG
rnacentral:rRNA from 1 species